rnacentral:misc_RNA from 1 species
UCCGGCUUGACGCCGGCGGUCUCGUUAGAGUCCCCAGCAUAACCUGAUGGUAACUAACGACAGGGGUUUCGCUCGUUGAGGGACUUAACCCGACACUUCACAGCACGAGCUGACGACAGCCAUGCAGCACCUGUGCACGUUUCACCGAAGCAGCUUACUCCUGUUUCCAAGAGGGCAUCCGUGCAUGUCAAACCCAGGUAAGGUUCUUCGCGUUGCUUCGAAUUAAUCCACAUGCUCCACCGCUUGUGUGAGCCCCCGUCAAUUCCUUUGAGUUUUAGCCUUGCGGCCGUACUCCCCAGGCGGCGCACUUAUCAAUUUUUCUACGGCACGGUCGGCGUGAGAGCCUCCCAUACCUAGUGCGCAUCGUUUACGGCGUGGACUAC